AUUUUUAUAAGUAUAAUUUUUUAAAAAAAUUACCUGAAAUCAUUUCGAACUCAAACGGUAAAAAUUUUUAAUUGACGUUUUAUUUGAUAUAUAAGUCGAAAAAAGCAUUUUUUCAAGGCUAAA
rnacentral:rRNA from 1 species